UUUAAUUUUUUUUUUUUUUCAGAAUAUGUGAAACUACGUUAUAUUAUCAUUAUGCUUUCCUUUGAUCUCAGAAAUUAGAAUCUCGCAGCCGUCAAAUUCUUCUCCUCUAAGCUCUGUUUCGAUGAAAGUGAAACUUAGAAACAUGAUAUGAAUCGAACUUGAGAAACAAUAUUGUGGGUCUCUUCGUCUUCUUCACUAAGAGAAGGUAAGCAUCUAAUUUCGAAAUUGUUUUCUUCUAAUUUUGAUUAUAGGUUGCAGCCUACUUUGGUUCCUGUGAGAUUGUGAGCGUCCUAAAUCCUAAUACUUCAAGAGGUUUGGUAACUUCGAAGUGUAUGUUUCUGCUGUGAGGGUUUUUGUUGUGUUUGGUGGGUUAUCUUCACUUUCAGAUUCAAAGCUCAUGUAGAUGGAGUAGGGAUCGUUGGUUUGAGACUAAGAGAGGAGGAUGAAGUUGGUUUAUGUCUUGUUUCAAAAUGGGGUUCCCCACUUACGUGGAUCAUUCCCCUGGGCCCGGUUAGGCAGCGGUCCACUUCACCGAGAAGGCUUUACCUGGGCUGGGGACAAGGCCCAACACCCAGUACUGCAUUUGAUGACAGGAUGGACAGUUCCCCUCCGUCUGGCUUCGAACCCGGGAGCAUGACAAUUGGCCCCCAAGACCCUUACCAAACGAGCUACCACAUCCUGUCAUUCUCAAUGGUUUGUUGUAUUUCACUUUCUAAGUUUCAGAUUUAUGUACUUGCAGAUUUUAAAUAUGUAUUAGAUACACUGCAGAUUUUAAAUCAGGUUUAUUACAUGUUAUUGAGCA